rnacentral:rRNA from 1 species
CAGGACGAACGCUGGCGGCGUGCCUAACACAUGCAAGUCGAGCGAGGAGAUUCCUUCGGGAUGAUCCUAGCGGCGGACGGGUGAGUAACACGUGGGCAACCUGCCUCAUAGAGAGGAAUAGCCUUCCGAAAGGGAGAUUAAUACCUCAUAACAUUGCAGUUUCGCAUGGAACAGCAAUUAAAGGAGCAAUCCGCUAUGAGAUGGGCCCGCGGCGCAUUAGCUAGUUGGUGAGGUAACGGCUCACCAAGGCGACGAUGCGUAGCCGACCUGAGAGGGUGAUCGGCCACAUUGGGACUGAGACACGGCCCAGACUCCUACGGGAGGCAGCAGUGGGGAAUAUUGCACAAUGGGGGAAACCCUGAUGCAGCCAACGCCGCGUGAGUGAUGACGGCCUUCGGGUUGUAAAGCUCUGUCUUCAGGGACGAUAAUGACGGUACCUGAGGAGGAAGCCACGGCUAACUACGUGCCAGCAGCUGC